rnacentral:piRNA from 1 species
ACCUGGUUAGGUAGAACUGUGGUGGAGCUA